rnacentral:misc_RNA from 1 species
AGCAGCCGCGGUAAUUCCAGCUCCAAUAGCGUAUAUUAAAGUUGUUGCAGUUAAAAGCUCGUAGUUGAAUUUCGGGAUCAAUAUGCUGGUCGUGCCAUUGGUACGUACUAGUAUUAUUGGUUUCUCCUUUCUGAUGAAUCAUGAUGUCAUUAAUUUGAUGUCAUGAGGAAUCAGGACUGUUACUUUGAAAAAUUGAGUGUUUAAAGCAGGCUCGCGCUUGAAUACAUUAGCAUGGAAUAAUGAAAUAGGAUGUUUGAUUCUAUUUUGUUGGUUUCUAGGAUUGACGUAAUGAUUAAUAGGGAUAGUUGGGGGCAUUAGUAUUCAAUUGUCAGAGGUGAAAUUCUUGGAUUUAUUGAAGACUAACUACUGCGAAAGCAUUGCCAAGGAUGUU